rnacentral:rRNA from 1 species
UACAGAGGUCUCAAGCGUUGUUCGGAUUCAUUGGGCGUAAAGGGUGCGUAGGUGGCGCCGUAAGUCAGGUGUGAAAUUUCGGAGCUUAACUCCGAAACUGCAUUUGAUACUGCGGUGCUUGAGGACUGGAGAGGAGACUGGAAUUCACGGUGUAGCGGUGAAAUGCGUAGAUAUCGUAAGGAAGACCAGUGGCGAAGGCGGGUCUCUGGACAGUUCCUGACGCUGAGGCACGAAGGCCAGGGGAGCAAACGGG